UGAAGCUGGAUUCGCUAGUAAUCGCGCAUCAGCCACGGCGCGGUGAAUACGUUCCCGGGCCUUGUACACACCGCCCGUCAAGCCAUGGAAGCCGGGAGUGCCUGAAGUGCGUGACCGCAAGGAGCGUCCUAAGGCAAUACCGGUGACUGGGGCUAAGUCGUAACAAGGUACC
rnacentral:rRNA from 1 species